AUUGAACGCUGGCGGCAGGCUUAACACAUGCAAGUCGAGCGGGGUGAUGGUGCUUGCACUAUCACUUAGCGGCGGACGGGUGAGUAAUGCUUAGGAAUCUGCCUAUUAGUGGGGGACAACAUCCCGAAAGGGAUGCUAAUACCGCAUACGUCCUACGGGAGAAAGCAGGGGAUCACUUGUGACCUUGCGCUAAUAGAUGAGCCUAAGUCGGAUUAGCUAGUUGGUGGGGUAAAGGCCUACCAAGGCGACGAUCUGUAGCGGGUCUGGGAGGAUGAUCCGCCACACUGGGACUUAGACACGGCCCAGACUCCUACGGGAGGCAGCAGUGGGGAAUAUUGGACAAUGGGGGGAACCCUGAUCCAGCCAUGCCGCGUGUGUGAAGAAGGCCUUAUGGUUGUAAAGCACUUUAAGCGAGGAGGAGGCUCUUUUGGUUAAUACCCAAGAUGAGUGGACGUUACUCGCAGAAUAAGCACCGGCUAACUCUGUGCCAGCCGCCGCCGUAA
rnacentral:rRNA from 1 species